rnacentral:rRNA from 1 species
AUGGGGCCGUGUCUUCAUUCCUCGCCGUCCGUCCGCCGCCGCCGCCGCCGCAUCCAGACCCCGCCAUCCGGCGCCGCGUCCGUAUUCCCCGGCCCAGCGCCGCAUUCAGACCCCGCGUCCGCAUUCCUGCUGGCCUCCCCUCUGCGGCGCUUUGCUCUGGCCUCGCCGACGCAACCCGCAUCUCCAGUCUCCCCUCGGCGGCGCCAUGCUCUGGACUCGUCGAUGCUUCGCGCACCUCCGGCCUCCCCUCCUCAGCACCCUUCUUCGACCUCCCUCCCCAACGCGGUCCACACCAGCAACCUCCCUUCCUCCCCCUUCAGCAGCUCCCUUGAGGUGAAUCAAUCACGGGAUGAAUGGAGUCGCGCCGUCGGCCAUGGCGGCAGGGGCAGCCUAGAAGACCUCAAACCUGCUGGCUCCUCUCCCUGA